CUUCGCCCCGCCGCAGCCCACUGUCCCAGCGUUGCUGCACCCCCGCCCCGACCACCUUCCCCGCGAGCGCCGCCCCAGCCACCCCACCUCCAACACGCACAACACCGGCUGGAUCCGGCCGACAACCACACUGUAUUUCCCCGACGAGCAACUCCCACAUCCACAUCGCCGCGCUGCCAUGGGGAAUGGAGGUUAAUGGAUGGUGCUCAGGGGGCAGAUCCCGCAGUUUUUGCCGUCCGUUGCAGCUUGGUUGUGCGCGUGCAGUCCACCCAUCUCCUCCACUGCAUCCCUAGCAGCGGGGGCCUCACAGUCCACAUCGACAGCAGAUGAAGCUCCAGCCAGCGGGUUUUUUCGAUUUUUUGCCGUGGCCGGCGAGAGAACCAUGCGGCUCGAAGUUCCAUCGGUUGCCCUGCAGUUCCUUCGCUUCCUUCGGCACCGACGCGCGCCAACAAUGUGUGUUUUCAGUAUAUUUGUAUUGUUCAUGCAGUGCACAUGUGCACCUUCUGUAGUGCGCUAGACUGGUUCGUGCAGUGCAGAACGGACACCUAUUAAAAAUUAGGGGAAACCGUAUGCAUACAACUACUCGUCUAGUGUAGAACACAUGAAUGGAAAAAAGAAAAGAAAAACUUCCCAGCAGUGCAGAA